GACGAACGCUGGCGGCGUGCUUAACACAUGCAAGUCGAACGGAAAGGCCCUGCUUUUGUGGGGUGCUCGAGUGGCGAACGGGUGAGUAACACGUGAGUAACCUGCCCUUGACUUUGGGAUAACUUCAGGAAACUGGGGCUAAUACCGGAUAGGAGCUCCUGCUGCAUGGUGGGGGUUGGAAAGUUUCGGCGGGUGGGGAUGGACUCGCGGCUUAUCAGCUUGUUGGUGGGGUAGUUGGUUACCAAGGCUUUGACGGGUAUCCCGCCCGGGGAGGUGACCGGCCCACAUGGGACUGAGGUACGGACCAGGCUGCCACGGGAGGCAAGAGGGGGGAAUCAUGCACAAAGGGCGGAAGCCUGAUGCAGCAACGCCGCGUGCGGGAUGACGGCCUUCGGGUUGUAAACCGCUUUCGCCUGUGACGAAGCGUGAGUGACGGUAAUGGGUAAAGAAGCACCGGCUAACUACGUG
rnacentral:rRNA from 1 species